UGCUAUCCCUACGUCCCUACCUCACUCAGUUCCGAAGUCGAUCACAUCACGCAGCGAGGAAGAGAGGGGAAAAAAGGGCAGAAAAAACCUUUGAAAAUCCCAAACCCUAACAAGGCUAUAGGCGAGCGGGAUCCAUGAAGAUCCCGUUCGUGUCCAAGCGAACGCACCGGUCGAGCGAGGCCGCGGGCCCGUCGAACCCGCCUCCGGCUGUGCCGCAGCAGCCGCGGUCCCCGGCGAGGUCGGCGUCCUCGUCGCCGCCCGGAGCGGUGACCGGCGCCGCAGGGGAGGAUUUCAUUUCGCAGGAGGAGGAGUACCAGAUGCAGCUGGCCAUGGCGCUGUCGGCGUCGGCCUCGGUGUUGGGCAGCGGGGGCGCCGGGGACCCUGAUGGGGAGCAGAUCAGGAAGGCUAAGUUGAUGAGCCUCGGAAGCGGAGAAUCGGGUGCUGCUGGCGAUCGGGGCGGGAUAGACUCACCGGAGUCGCUCUCACGGCGGUAUCGGGAUUACAACUUUGUUGAUUACAAUGAGAAAAUUAUUGAUGGAUUCUACGACAUAUUUGGCCUCUCAGCGGAGUUGUCCAGGCAGAAAAAUAUUCCAUCGCUUGCUGAGCUUCAGAUGAGCAUUGGGGAUCUUGGAUUUGAAGUGAUUGUGAUUGACCAUAAAUUUGAUAAUGCCUUAAGGGAGAUGAAGGAAGUAGCACAGUGCUGCAUGUUGGGCUGUGUUGACAUUUCAGUAUCGGUGCGGCGAAUAGCUGAAGUUGUUGCAGAACAUAUGGGUGGUCCUGUGAUAGAUGCAAAUGAAAUGUUCACGAGGUGGUUAGGAAAAAGCAUUGAGCAGAGGACAUCACACCAAACAAGUCUGCUGCCAAUAGGCCGCAUUGACAUAGGCUUGUCUCGCCACCGCGCCCUACUUUUCAAGAUUCUUGCUGACACUGUUGGUAUUCCAUGCAAAUUGGUUAAAGGGAGUCAUUACACUGGUGUUGAAGAUGAUGCUAUUAACAUUAUAAAGAUGGGCAAUGACAUGGAAUAUUUGGUUGAUGUGAUGGCUGCCCCUGGCACUCUUAUUCCAGCAUAUUUCUUUAAUUCAAAGGGCACUUCGUUGAAGCCCCAUCAAACACUGAUUCAGAAUCAGAGUAACAUGGACAAUGAACCAGUUGCGUUACAUUCUGAGUGUAAACAUAACCAAUUGCAUAUGCCUAGCAAUAUCAAUUGGGUAUCAGGCAAUCAUUCAGGGUAUGAGAAGACAACUGCUUCAUCUGCUCAGGAUCCUUGGGCUGCGAUGUUACCAGUGAGUGCUGGAUGUAGUGCUAGCGCACCCUGUGCAUUGACAACUCAGCAGCCAUCAGAUCAAACAUUAAGUGCAGGUGCACUUUCAAAGCAGAAAGAGGACAUGGAAUUACUUCCUGACCCUCAAGACAACGUGUCCACAAAAAUAUUUUCGGGUCUUAAUCCUGUGAGGGCUAUUGGAUCUGGGAAAAGUUCAGUGGCACUAAAGAGACUAGAAAACAGAAACAAUGAAUUCCAAAGACGUAGAGAGAAUGUAGCCCCAGUCCCUGCAAGAUCACAACAGCCACUUGUGAUAAAAAACUGGUCUGCUUUUAAUGACAUUUCCAACAACAAGCAGUACAACUUUGCUGAGGGGUUAGUUCCUCACAGAAAUACUGUCGACAAUGCUCCAUCAUCAUCUCAGGUGGGCUGGUCAGCUGCGCAGCAUUAUAAUUCCAAUGCUGUAGAGCACAACAAUAAGUCAUAUGUAGCACCAGUUCAUAAAUAUAAUAAUGGAACGAUUGUUACCUCAGAUGUGACCACAGCCUCUACCUCCACAGAACGCCUUGAUGGCUCAAACAUGGAAGCUGCUUCUGAUUAUGACAUGAUUGGUACCCCUUCUGUGAACACGAGUUGUAUGUAUGGAAUUGGUAGUGUUGUAAUAAAGGGCCCUUGUGGUGAUGUAGAGAAAUGCCCCAUGCAUUCUAGAUACGAUAGUCAACUUUCUGUCAAUGCAGAUGGAUUUGGUUUACAAGUGAAUGAGAACAAGGAAAACUAUGGCAAGCCUGACCACAAACAGUUAUAUCCUGAUCCAAGGAAGUCUUCUGAAAGAUCCAUGGGUGCACCAAAGCAGCAUUUGGGGUCUGUCUCUCCAUCUCAAGUUGGUUCUAACAGGGUUGGCAUAGUGUUGGAGGAUGUAUCUGAAUGCGAAAUCCUCUGGGAAGAUCUUGUAAUUGGUGAAAGAAUUGGAUUUGGUUCAUACGGAGAAGUGUACCAUGCUGAUUGGAAUGGAACAGAAGUAGCUGUAAAGAAGUUCUUGGAUCAAGAAUUCUAUGGUGAUGCUCUGGAUGAGUUCCGUUGUGAAGUAGGUGAGGAUUAUGCGCCGUCUUCGACAUCCAAAUAUUGUGCUCUUUAUGGGUGCAGUAACAAGGCCCCCAAAUUUGUCCAUUGUAUCAGAAUAUCUACCAAGGGGAAGCUUACAUAAGAUCAUUCAUCGUCCUAAUUGUGAAAUUGAUGAGAAGCGUAGGAUUAAGAUGGCUCUUGAUGUGGCAAGAGGCAUGAAUUGCCUCCAUACAAGUGUACCAACAAUUGUUCACCGGGAUCUAAAAUCACCAAACUUACUGGUUGACGAUAAUUGGACUGUUAAGGUCUGUGAUUUUGGACUUUCUCGUUUAAAGCACAGUACAUUUUUGUCAUCUAAAUCCACUGCUGGAACUCCAGAGUGGAUGGCACCAGAGGUAUUGCGGAAUGAGCAAUCCAAUGAGAAGUGUGAUGUUUAUAGCUUUGGUGUCAUCCUGUGGGAACUUGCUACGCUAAGAACACCCUGGCAGGGAAUGAACCCCAUGCAAGUUGUGGGUGCAGUUGGCUUCCAGGGUCGACGGCUUGAUAUUCCCAAAGAAGUUGAUCCUUUGGUGGCAAAGAUCAUUUGGGACUGCUGGCAGAAGGAUCCAAAUUUGCGCCCUUCUUUUGGCCAGUUAACAAGCUACCUCAAGCCAUUGCAAAGGCUAGUAGUUCCUUCUCAUCAGGAGAUGCCGAGCCCGCCUGCCCCACAAUAAAUAUGGGUGAAUUACACCCCUUGAGGUUAUCAUACAGUGAAUGAGAACAAAGGAAUAUAGUUUUGUCACCAUAUACUAGGGUUCACUAGUCUGCAAAGGCAUGACUUGAUUGAGAACCCCAAGUAUGUACAGUAGUAUAGGCCCAUCAGAUAAUAGCCAAAGAAGAGAAAAAUGGUCUGUGUGGAUGAGGGUGUUUCACUGGAAGGUUUCUGGAUCUGGUUCAAAUUCGAAUGAGAUACAAAACCUUCCAAUGAAAGACCCCCAAUCCAAACAUGCACUAAGUCGGCAAUUGUAUGUCACUUCAAUGCUUAUAUCCCUAUCUUUCUUUUCUUUUUUGCCCCACUGAAUGCAAGCAUGCUAGAAGGCAGCAUGCUCAUUCUGUUUGGAUUAUGGCAUUAGAAAAAGCAAAUGUACAACUCAGCUUUAGUCAAUCAAAUUUCACUUAAAGCUGGCAGUCUGGAUUCUUAACAUUGUGCAUCGCCUGAUUGAUUAUUAUGUGUUAUGUCUA